GCAAGUUCCAAGAGUCCACUUCUUGUCAAAAGUCAAUGCAGAGCUUUUCAUUCAUCUUCUUUCUCUCUCUAGUCUUAUUAGAGUUCUCCUCUGGAGCUGAUAUCAUAGCUUCAAUGCAAUUCAUCAUCAAGGGGGAGACCUUAGUUUCCCCCAGCCAAAGGUUCGAGUUGGGUUUCUUCUCUCUUGGUAAUUCCAGGAACCUGUAUCUGGGAGUAUGGUAUAAAAAAUUUCCACGUACCAUUGUAUGGGUUGCCAACAGAGAAAUCCCACUUCCAGAUUCAUCUGGAGCUUUGACUUUGGCUGAAAAUGGAAAUCUCAUCAUUACAGACCAAAAUAAUCACACUGCUUGGUCCUCCAAUUCUUCAGGAGCAGAAAUGCCCAUCGCCCAGCUUUUGGAGUCUGGAAACUUUGUGGUUCGAGAGAAGGCUAAUACUAAUACUGAGCUAUAUAUGGCAAAGUUUCGAUUUCCCAUCAGACACACAAUUACCUGGCAUGAAGAUGGGUUGGAAUUUUAAGACUGGUCUUAACCGAUUCUUGACGUCUUGGAAAAAUGCUACUGACCCUUCUAGGGGGGAAUUUACUUACACAUUUGACAAUCUGGGGUUGCCUCAACUUGUUUUUCGCAAGGGAUCAGAGAAGAAGUUUCGCACUGGUCUGUGGAAUGGACUACGAUUUAGUGGAACAGUUGUGAACAUAAACGCAGUUUUUAAGCCCAAUAUUGUGUAUAAUAAGGAUGAAUUGUAUUACAUGUAUGAGGCUAAUGACAAUUCUAUUGUUACAAGAGUUACUUUGACUGAGUCGGGUUCAGUCCAACGUCUUUUAUUGAAUGAAGGGAGUGGCGAAUGGGGUGUAAUGUAUACAACACCGAAUGAUCUGUGUGAUGUUUAUGCACAGUGUGGAGCUAAUGGAAUUUGUAAGAUAAGCAAAAGACCAAUUUGUGAGUGUUUGAAGGGAUUUGUUCCAAAACAUCAGAAGGAGUGGGAAGUGUUUAAUUGGACUGGUGGUUGCAUGAGAAGGCUACCACUGACUUGCCAGAAGGGAGAAGGGUUUCUGAAACUUGAAGGAGUGAAAUCGCCAGACUUGGUCCAGUUUUGGUUGAACACAAGCACCAGUCUUGAAGAAUGUGAGUCAGAGUGCUUGAAGAACUGCUCUUGUACGGCUUAUGCUAACUCAGAUAUUAGAAAUGGAGGCACUGGUUGUUUGAUGUGGUUUGGUGAUUUAAUGGACAUAAGAGAGUUCGAUGAAAAAGGGGACAGGCUAUUUAUGUUAGAGAGACAAAUUAGGUUAUUCCAGUCUGAAGGAGAAGAAACUACUGAUCAUAUCAAUAACUUGUGGGGAAAAAGAACCAAGGAAGAUUUGGACGUGCCAUUGUUUGAUUUUGUUACUAUUGUGAGGUCAACAAAUAACUUCUCCGGCACAAAUAAGAUAGGAGAGGGCGGUUUUGGUCCUGUUUACAAGGGUGAGCUAUUAUCAGGACAAGAAAUAGCAGUGAAGAGGCUCUCAAAUAGUUCCAGCCAAGGUCUUGAAGAGUUUGUGAAUGAAGUUAUUAUGGUUUCCAAACUUCAACAUCGGAAUCUAGUUAAGCUUCUGGGCUGUUGCAUUGAAGGAGAAGAAAGGAUGCUAAUCUAUGAGUAUAUGCCCAACAAAGGGAGCGGAAUGGCAGAUCAGAAUGGGAGAGCAUCAUUGGAUUGGCAGAAGCGCUUUCAAAUUGUCAUGGGAAUUGCAAGGGGACUUCUUUAUCUACAUCAAGACUCCAGAUUAAGAAUUAUUCAUAGGGAUCUCAAAACUAGCAACAUUUUACUUGAUCAUGAAUUGAACCCCAAAAUUUCAGACUUUGGUAUAGCAAGAAUUUUUGGAGGGGAUCAAAUGGAAGCAAAAACAAAGCGAGUAAUUGGGACAUAUGGAUACAUGUCUCCAGAGUAUGCAAUUGACGGAAAAUUUUCAGUCAAAUCAGACAUUUUUAGUCUUGGUGUACUAAUGUUAGAGAUACUCAGUGGCAAAAAGAACAGGGGGUUUUCCCAUCCAGAUCAUCACCAUAAUCUUUUGGGGCAUGCUUGGCUUCUGUGGAAUGAAAACAAAGCUUUGGAGCUAAUGGAUCCAUGUUUGAAGGAAUCAUAUGUUAAAUCUCAAGUGCUAGGAUGCAUUCAAGUGGGUCUACUAUGUGUUCAGAAACUUCCAGAAGAUAGACCAGCAAUGUCAUCAGUGGUUUCCAUGAUGGGAAAUGAGGGGUCACCACUUCCUCAGCCUAAACAGCCUGGUUUCUUCAUAGAAAGGAGUUCCAAUGAUGCAGAUGUGUCAACAAGUGUAGAAGGAUGCCAUACUGAAAAUGCACUCACUAUAACAGUGAUGGAAGCGAGAUAAAGGAAACAUCUGCCGUUGCAAUUGGGAUAAGUUGAUGUUCAACAAGAAAUGAGAUGUAAGAUUCAGAAGUUCAAAGUUUGUGGCAUCUUGAGUUGAUCACGGGGGCUGAAGUUGGGGUGUGCAUUAGAAUUCUAGUAGAUAAGAGAGAGGGAGAAACGAGAGCCUCGAUUGCCGGUUCCGAUAAGUAGGAAUUUAUGUCAUUUAUUUUUGCCAAUGCCAAGGGAAAAGGCAGGUAAAGGUACUAUUCUUGAGAAAAAGUUUCAAUGGCUAUGGUGAAGCAGAGUUCCUUCUGAGCUCGUGUUUUUUUUUUUUUGGUGGAUUAAUUUCUAUAUCUAUAUAUAACAGUAUCCUCCUUCAACUCAAACUUUAUGUUACUAGUUAUCUUAUUGGUAGAUAAUUUUUUUUU